rnacentral:rRNA from 1 species
GACGAACGCUGGCGGCGUGCUUAACACAUGCAAGUCGAACGGAAAGGCCCUGCUUUUGUGGGGUGCUCGAGUGGCGAACGGGUGAGUAACACGUGAGUAACCUGCCAUUGACUUUGGGAUAACGUCAGGAAACUGGGGCUAAUACCGGAUAGGAGCUCCUGCUGCAUGGUGGGGGUUGGAAAGUUUCGGCGGUUGGGGAUGGACUCGCGGCUUAUCAGCUUGUUGGUGGGGUAGUGGCUUACCAAGGCUUUGACGGGUAGCCGGCCUGAGGGGGUGACCGGCCACAUUGGGACUGAGAUACGGCCCAGCCUACUACGGGAGGCAGCAGUGGGGAAUAUUGCACAAUGGGCGGAAGCCUGAUGCAGCAACGCAGCGUGUGGGAUGACGGCAUUCGGGUUGUAAGCCGCUUUCGCCUGUCACGAAGCGUGAGUGACGGUAAUGGGUAAAGAAGCACCGGCUAACUACGUG